rnacentral:misc_RNA from 1 species
UCUCCGUAGGUGAACCAGCGGAGGGAUCAUUACCGAGUUAUUUUACUUCCAAACCCCUGUGAACUUAUACCUUUACUGUUGCUACGGCGGGUUAACGCCCCGUAAAGCCCGCGCGGGCCGCCGGAACUAGGCGCCCCCCGGGGGCCCCAAACUCAUGCAUCUUUUUUAUAGCAUGUCUGUGCUGAUACACAAAUAAAAGAAUCAAAACUUUCAACAACGGAUCUCUUGGUUCUGGCAUCGAUGACGAACGCAGCAGAUCGGAAGCGCACACGCCGGAAC